AAAAAGACAACAUGUCAGUGUCAUGUCAGCCCCCCUGUUUGCAUGAAGAAUAAGGUUAAUAGGUGACAUUUUUCAUGCGUCAGCUAGGAUGUUGAUACAAGGACUCACAUGCCAGUUCUUCUCUUCACAACUUUGCGAAACAGAGUAGAUCCUUCAGACACUGCCUUGCAAUGAAAAUGUUUGUUCACAUGUUUUUGGUAACAUUGCCAUGUUUGUACUGUUUGACUGAAACAGGUUGGGUGGAGCUUUACCAAAUGUUCCAAAUUUUGAUGCGCUGCCAGUAAUCGGUUUGGAAGAGACUGUACACGACCUCACUGCAGAUUUUGAGUCCGAACCAUCUACAGAUCCUGACAGCUCCACUGCCUCACCAGCUGAUUCAAAUGUGCCAACUCUACAGAAGGCAGAGGACAUUGUUGGUGCCAAGGCAUCGAUUGUGUAUGAUGACUGCUUGAAGUACCUUGCGGCCUUUGUUACACCACCAGUGAAACAGUGCACAGCAAUAAAUGUGACCGGUGCAACAUGCCAACACCAUCCACCAUUCCUGGUAAACCUCAAAGGGAAAGGCACUGCAAGCAUGUUAGAAUGGGACCUGAUUUACAGUUGAGUUCACCCCAUUGAAGCCAGAAUUGCAGCAUCCAGUGUACGCAUAGUAAAAGCCUCCGGCAGAGAGAAGGAUUGGGACCAAUGGCACACCCACCAACAUUAACACUGUCCAUG